CGCAGAGAAAAGCCUUAAUCUUUUAUUUGCUGGGGGAGAGGGGGGGAGGCGAGGUCCAUAACCCCCUCCCCUCUGCAACAUACACACUCACACUCUAGGCCCGGGCGCGUCUGGGCGUUCGCAGUCCCGUGUUCGCGGCAGCUCUCGGCCCACAGCGCUCCUUUGGUGGGAUGCCCGCACCCCGAACUCCUCGAUCCCUAAGGUCAGGUCGGGCUGGGUUCUCCGAGCCACCGGCCUCCUUCCGUGCCCAGCUCCGUCUGCUGCCAUGCGGGGUUCGCCGCCUCUCAGAGUCUCCACUCGGCUUCAGGCCUGGGUCCGGCAACUGUGCGUCCUUUAAGAUUUUCCACCCUACUCCCAGCGCCAGCCCCAGGGCUGCAGGGCCUUUUCCCGGGUUAGACGCAAAGUAGCCCCGGCAACCCCUUGACCGCCGCAGGGAGCUCCCAGACCGCCGCCCAAAGGGGACUUGGAGGAGACUGAGGCUCCGCGGACGUCUUCCCCGAGGGGUCAGCCUCCAUGGCCUCUGAUCUUCACGCCCGGACGUCCUGAGACCCCAGGAACGGGGUUGGCUCUCGAGGUGUCCGGGGACGCGGCGGCCGGGCUCCCACUCUGGCGAAGAGAGGCUGCGCAGAGCCUGGCUGGGCCUGGCUCCUUGAGAGUCCCGGCCGACGGGGCGGCUUGUCGCCCCCAGGCUCUCGGACAGACCUCCCAAGUAGGAGACGGAGAUGUUUCGCAAAGGGCCCAGCUCUCCCUCUAGGAGCACCAAGUCACACGCCCCUGGCCACUCCGACCCACAGGGUUCGCCCUCCUUUGCCUCACGUCUUUAGACAGGGGUCCCUGGGCCGCCACGCCUGGCUCACCGCACCCUGCCAGGGCGGGGAGGGAUCCAGAAAUCCCCCUACAAUGGGAUUCAGGCCUGGGACCGGCAGGGAGAUGAUCUCGGGCGUCUGUGCCUUUGACCCCCUCCCAAUUUCGAAAUUUUUUUUUUUUCACAAAAAUCAAAACCAAAUAGCCUUAAAAUUUUAAUGUAACUCUCUUCUAGGAGGAGCUGCGCAGAGGCAGCAAAUAUCCGCAGCUGAGGGGCCAGAGCUGGGGGGGGAGGGGCUCCCCGACGUGUUGGACGGAACGAGUCACCCCGGACGCAGGAGCGGCGGGAUCCCUGGUGCGCCAGCCGACAGCCACCAGAGCCUGGGCGGAGCGCGGCGUGUCCGCUAGGCGGCGAUGCGGAACCCGGCGGCGCGGGAAGGAGACCCGGAAGCCCCGCCAGCGCGCGGGCCAUAGGGCUGAGUUGUCAUUCAGAGACCCCUCGCCUCUACCUUCCCACGCCUUUCGGGGGCGGUGUCCCGGAGUCCCCUCUCUGUCGCUCCUCUCUUCUUCUCUCCUGCUGUCAACCGUCUCCCCUGCUCUUCUCUACCCUCUCCAGCUUCUGCGGUUCUUCUCCCUUCGCUCCCUUUCUGUGCCCCAGAGGGGUCGGGCUAACGUCUCAGACCCCUCCCCAACCUGAGUCUCUGACAGGUCACCAUACAUCCCAGACAUUCCUUCACUCCCUCAUUCACUGAUUAUUUCCCAGCGCCUACCGCUUGCCAAGGGUUGGCCAUCCCUUUACUUACACAGACGGAGGAACUGAGGCUCAGUUCUGGCAGCCAGUGGCAAGGCCCACAGAGAAAGUCCAGCCUUUCCUCCCACCCUCCCCACCCCCCCCAACCUGUCCCUUUGGUGGUGACCCUAAGUGACCUUAGCAUCCUUGUGCUGGGUGACUGCCCCAGAAAGAGGGAUCAGCUGCCCAAAUCUGUCAGACCUGCCUACCCCCAGGUGUGCAUACUCAACCCAAAUACAGGUGCCUGUCAACAGCACAUACUGAAUCACAGCAUGCGUGCUCACACACAUUCACCCUCACUUUCACAGGAAUAGUCCAUCUGCUCAGAUCAGGCACACACUUGCACUCACACACAGGUCAAAGAAGGAAAGGUGAUGAGCAGGAUCUUUAGGUAGUGAGGAAAGGCAGACAAGAAAGCCCCUCUAGUUGAUGCAACGUGUGAAAGUUGCCAAGACGGUGCAGCCUGUCCCUGCAGGACUGUCUCCCCAGGCUUUGCUGCACACACUGGCUCAGGGCUCCUUUCCCACCCCAGCUAGAGGCCUGGCCAUGCUCAGUGUGGCUGCAAAGCCCAAACCAACCUGCUCACAUCUGUCAUGGACUGAGUCAAGUCUAUAUUAUCCUAUAUCAUCCCAGUUAAACAUCCCAACAAUUCCACAAGUUCAUUCAAUACUUCCAUUUUACAGGUGAGAAACUGAGGUUCAGUGAGCUCAUGUCACUAGCAAGUGAUGGAGUAUUGGCAGGGUUCUCACUUUGGCUGAUAUUAUGUGAGGAGAUUUUAAAGCAUAGUGUUACAUAGGAACCAGAUAUUCUGAUUCAGCUAGGGUGGAAGGGGAUGGAUAUAGGUUUUGUUUUUUUUCAUUAGGUCCCCAGUGAUUUUUUAAAUUAUAAUGGAGAUUUUCAAACAUGCAGAGGUAGAGAGAUUAGUGCAAUAGCUCCCCACCCCAAACCUAUCACCAGCCUCAGCAAUCACCUACUCAUGGCCAGUGUUCUUUCCUCUGUACCCCCUCUCAUUUACCCCACCCUGCCAUAAUUGUGAAAUGAAUGCAGAUGCAGACGUCUUAGUCCAUCUCCUCAGGUGUUUGUCACUUUCAGUCAGGGUGGAAACCCACUGUGCUGGGGGUUUAAAGCUCCUCCGCCUGCCUGGCUCCUGAUCCAGGAUUUUUCCCUCUGCCCACCUCAGUUGAGACAUGAUGACGUUAAGGAUAUUGCUCAAGUUCUCCAGUUAGUGCAUGGUACAGCUAGGAUUUGAACCUGUUUCUUUCAGAUCUUAACCCUACCUUGUUCUGGGGUGUCCCUAAAAGUCCCAGGGAUACCACUGGGGAUAUAUGGGCUCUGAAAAGGCUCCUGAGCCCCUGGCUCAGCAGCAGUGCCUGGUGGGGACACAGCACAGGGGGAAUUCUGAAGAGCUUAAAGCCACAUGGGGCAGAGGAAAGAGCACAGGUUUGGGAUUAGACUGACCUUAGUUGAACUUUUGGUUCUAUCUCUGGCCCAACUCUAUGACUCAGGACAAGUCACACCUGCUCUCCAGACUUCAGUUUCAUCAUCUGUAAAAUGGGGAUAUUGUUACCCAUCUAAUGUGGUUGUUGUGAGGCUCAUAUGAAAUAAUGAAUGUGAAAAUCCCAACACACCGGCUGGUCCAUACUGGCUCUUACUAAUGACAGGUUUCUUAACUUCUUUUCUCCCCAAAGUCUCAUUUCAUCAUGACCAACCCUCUUGCUCAAGAAUUUCCUGUGGUUCCCUGUGGCCCACUGGCUCAAAUCCUCACUCCAGCAUUUGGCCAUCAGGGUGCCCAUAAUUAUCACUCAUCUUUUGUUCUGGCCCCUCUUUGACUUUCCUACCUUGCAUCUCACCAAUCCUCAAAGUUCAGACCCUCUUCCAGCUAGUAAGCUGCCCUCCCCAUUCCCCAACACCCUCCUCAGUUGUGCCUCUCAUAUACCCCUUCCCUAGAAUGCCUUCCUCCCUCCCCAUCCUUGAAAAUUCUCUCAAGACCUUCUUCUUCCAGGAAGCCUUCCAGAUUUCUCCCUGCCAUACACUGAUCUUUCCUGCACUUGCAUUCCCCCAGCACUUAAUGCUAAGGCAGAGGGUGGAGGUAUAAAGACUUAAAAAAAAUAGAGGUUCUUUCUCUCAGUCUGGAGGUGGGCAGGGCAGUCCAGGUUGAGAAUGGCCCUUGGUCAUCAGGGACCUGGGGUUCUUCUAUCUUCUACUCUGCCAUCCCAACCAGGAAGUCUUCACUCUCAAGUCAUCUCUGAGUCUAAGCUGACUGAGUUCAGCUACCAUCACCUCAUUACAAACAACAGGAAGGAGGAGGGAAAAAGAGCGCUGUCCGUCUCCUGGAUCCCAAACCUAAGUCACCUGGAGGCUUGGACCUCUUUCCCACCUGGGUCCAGAUUCUUCAAGUCGAGCAGACUGACCACCGAGGGACGAUUCUGACAGCCCACCUGAUGUGGGGAGCCCUUGGCUGCCUGGAAGCUCCUGCAGCCUGCCCAGAUCUGCCUCCCUCUCAUCAGACCCUUGGCUAUUUGACGCUGCCCUGUUCCCUCUCCCCCACCUUCCAGAGUGCCCAGCAAACUUCUUCCCAGCGGGAGCCAAGGCAGUUGUGACAUGCACAUUCUCUGACCUUUGUCCAUUGGGAAACCACCAUCCAACAGCAAGCAUUCCAGUGGGUCAGGCCUGGAGAGUGGACCUGCCCUGACACCUCUCACCACGCAGAGCUCUCAUGCCGCAGGAAAGAAAUUAGAUUAUUACUACUACUGUUUAAGGCCCAGGAUUAAUUCUGAUGGGAGGCAGCAGGAAUCUUCAUUGCUGGGAGGCAGCGCUUGAACUGGGCUUCAACUGCCACAGGAGCCAUCCGAGGUCUUUAACAGAGGAGUAACAUGAGAUUUGGCAACGGCAGACUGGAGGCAAAGGGACCGGUUUGGAGGAUGAGAACAGUGGGUGCCUGGAUCUCCCCAUCCAGUACCUGACAUCAAGAGCAAGUCGAGGGCUGCAGCCACAGCUGAACCUCCAACCUGGAGGAUCCAGAGCAGUCUGUUGGAACCUAGGUGAAGAAAGACAGACAUCAGUAAGAGGAUUAGAAGUUAGACAGUGCUGGAUUGCCUGGAAAGACAGACCUCACGAAACCCUAGAACACAGAGUCAGGGGAGAAUAACUGGAGUCUGGAGGCAGACAUUCCAGGACUGGCAUCCACCAUCCAUCAUGGUGAAUCCAGAAAGUCAUCAGAGACCCAGGCUCCUUCUAUUUUGUUGCUCUACUCUCAUAUCUAUAUGGGCCAUGAUGGCUGUUUGAGUGCCGGCUAUCACAUCUGAUUUCCAGCCAGCAGUGAAGUGAUAAGAAAGCAGAUGCCUUCCUUUUAAGGACAUUUCCCAGAAGUUGCCCAUAACACCUCCACUUACAUCAUACUGGUCAGAUUUAGUCAUAUGGCCCAUAUAGUUACAAAAGAGUCUGGGAAAUGUAGUCUUUAUUUUAUUAAAAUCAAUUACGAAUCAGGGUUCUAUUAUAAGAAAAUGGAGAUUGGAAGGCCACUAGUGGUCUCUGCCAUAAGGGGACAGUGAUGGGUUCUGGUUAAGAAUGCAAACAUUUGAAAGCCAAGUCUCAAGUUCAGAGGUGGAACUUCACAGAGCUUUGCAGUGACAUUACCUCUUCUGCAGAACUGUUUGAAGCCCACAUUUUUUCCCCUUUAUCUAUCCUAGAGAGAGAUGCUGAACUGUGAGGCAGAGAGAAAUCACUUCUGCCCUUUGAAAUGAUUGCUUUCUAUUUCCAAAGGCCCUGCCUUGACAAAGAAAAAUCUUACCUUUCCUUGAUUCCACUCAACGUACAACCUUAAGGAAUUUCCCACUCAAGGCCUGGCCCCAGUGCUCCUAAUUACUGUAGGAUCCUAACAGCUUUCCAGACAGGGCCCAUUCGGGGUUGCAGGCUUGAAUUCCAGAGUAAGAAGCAAACACCCCUCGCCCGGAAGCCAAACGGCAGGGUCUGCGUGGGCAGUGGUGGCACCAGGCCCAGUUAAGCAGAGCUGCUUAAGGGCAAGGGCUCCCAGGCCUGGGUUUAAGUCCCAGCUCUCUGGCUGGCUCUGUGACCUUGGGUAUACUUCAACCUCCCUGAGCCUCAGUUUCCUCCUCUAUAACAUGGGGCUGAGGAUAACAUACCAGCCUCACGGGGUCAAGUGAGUGGGGAGAACAGGACCUGGUGCCUCGCCUGUGCUGUCAUGAGCACCCAUAGGUCCCUCCCUGUCCCCACUGAGUGCAAGGGAGGCUCACCACAGCCAGGCUGGUCUGGAUGCCGAGUGGGCAUGGAGCGGAUGGGCCUGUGGUUCACAGACAUCUCUUCACAGUCCAGGUCCCAGGAGCUCCCCGCUGAUGCCUCUGCUCCAGCCACACCCCACCCAGAGGCGCUGGGGGUGUGUGAUGUGCAUCCCUCCUGCUCCACUUUGAAGAAUCAUGGGGCGGGGGCGGGGUGGGGAGGACCCCAUCCUCAAGUCCCCUGCACACCUUGCAUUCAGAUCACCCCUCUCCUAGAGCAAAAGAUAAUGGGGUAAAAGUGGAGUUUGCAUCCAAGUUUCCCUUCUGGUUACUCCAGUGUCGCUCUUCUGAAUAUUUAUGGUGAUCAGCCCUGCAACGAAAACGGGACUUCACUGUCUAAAUAAUCAGGGCUCCUGAGGAUCCCUAUAAUGUAUUCUGGAUCACAGAUUCGUGGGGAGCCAAGAAGGGUCCGAGCCGGGCAGAACUGCUAAAAUCCAUCCCGGCAACGUGAAGCAGUGAUUUAUUGUGACAUGGAAUGUGGGACAUUUCCCCAGCUUUUGUGAUUGUGGCAUACUUUCAGAGGCCCCUGACUGACGAGGAUGGAUGGAUGGCUGCCAUGGCAGAUGGCACUGCUGCCUGGGCUGAGCAAGCGAGCGAGCGGGUGCCCAAAUUGUCUACACCCUCCCCCAGGAGCGCAGAGACCGUGGGGACCAGCACUGGGACAGGAGGUGCCUUGCAGGGACCUGGCAGGGCUGGAUUUCUCAAU